UAGGGAAUCUUCGGCAAUGGACGAAAGUCUGACCGAGCAACGCCGCGUGAGUGAAGAAGGUUUUCGGAUCGUAAAACUCUGUUGUUAGAGAAGAACAAGGACGUUAGUAACUGAACGUCCCCUGACGGUAUCUAACCAGAAAGCCACGGCUAACUACGUGCCAGCAGCCGCGGUAAUACGUAGGUGGCAAGCGUUGUCCGGAUUUAUUGGGCGUAAAGCGGGCGCAGGCGGUUUCUUAAGUCUGAUGUGAAAGCCCCCGGCUCAACCGGGGAGGGUCAUUGGAAACUGGGAGACAUGAGUGCAGAAGAGGAGAGUGGAAUUCCAUGUGUGGCGGUGAGAUGCGUAGAUGUAUGGAGGAACACCAGUGGCGAAGGCGUCUCUCUGGUCUGUAACUGACGCUGGGGCUCGAAGGCGUGGGGAGCAAACAGG
rnacentral:rRNA from 1 species